rnacentral:rRNA from 1 species
AGAUUGAACUGAAGAGUUUGAUCCUGGCUCAGAUUGAACGCUGGCGGAAUGCUUUACACAUGCAAGUCGAACGGCAGCACGGGAGCUUGCUCCUGGUGGCGAGUGGCGAACGGGUGAGUAAUGCGUCGGAACGUACCGAGU